rnacentral:rRNA from 1 species
AUAUUGGACAAUGGGCGCAAGCCUGAUCCAGCCAUACCGCGUGGGCGAAGAAGGCCUUCGGGUUGUAAAGCCCUUUUGUUGGGACAGUAAUCCAGCUGGCUAAUACCAGGUUGGGAUGACGGUACCCAACUAACAAGCACCGGCUAACUUCGUGCCAGCAGCCGCGGUAAUACGAAGGGUGCAAGCGUUACUCGGAAUUACUGGGCGUAAAACGUGCGUAGGUGGUCGUUUAAGUCCGUUGUGAAAGCCCUGGGCUCAACCUGGGAACUGCAGUGGAUACUGGGCGACUAGAAUGUGGUAGAGGGUAGCGGAAUUCCUGGUGUAGCAGUGAAAUGCGUAGAGAUCAGGAGGAACAUCCAUGGCGAAGGCAGCUACCUGGACCAACAUUGACACUGAGGCACGAAAGCGUGGGGAGCAAAC